AGUUUCAGCUUUCUACAUAUGGCUAGCCAGUUUUCCCAGCACCAUUUAUUAAAUAGGGAAUCCUUUCCCCAUUGCUUGUUUUUCUCAGGUUUGUCAAAGAUCAGAUAGUUGUAGAUAUGCGGCAUUAUUUCUGAGGCCUCUGUUCUGUUCCAUUGAUCUAUAUCUCUGUUUUGGUACCAGUAUCAAGCCAAAAGAACAAAGCUGGAGGCAUCACACUACCCGACUUCAAACUAUACUACAAGGCUACUGUGUCAACACUUUUAAUGUGGCUAAGUCGCUAAUAGAAUCAAAUCUAAAAGACAUAUGACCUCCCAAUUUUGUAAAUCAAUUUAACAAUUAUUAUUUAAAUACCUACUUAUUUCUAAAAAUGUCUAGGCAGCCCACAUCUCAUACUGCCUCUGUCUCUAUGCACUGUGCUUGGUUGAAUGCACACUGAGAGUGGAGGACAGAGUUGUUUACCAAACAUUAUUCCCCUAACUUGAAGGUCCCUUUGCUCUUUUUUUAUUUCUGCUAUUUUUCUUCCCAUCUCCCUGGGGAAUCCUAACAAGAUUACAUACUAGAGAGAUAAAAUCCAUUGCUUUGCUAUUGUGGCCGCACUAUGAUCCUUCUUUCUCUGGCUCCAAUUUGCUGAAGUCCCAAUGACACAGCACAAAAGAGAAGAAAAUAUUUGCUAUAAUCCCUACUUUUCAAUAAUUUUAGAAAUAAUUUCUUUUGCCUAAUUCUACCUCUUUACUUUCAUCAAUCUUUUGCUCCAAGAAAGAAAGGUGUUAUGGGGAACAGUUAUGCUCACUAUCUUUGUGAUUCCAUAGAAAAGAAAAGGAAGCUUCUGUCAGCACACACACUCCACAUAUUCAUACACACCACAGACACAAACCACACUCACCACACAUGCACACACACCCCACAUAAACACACCAGGCACAUACUCUGCCUCUGCCUCCCCAGUCUUGAAGGCAACGCUACAGGUUCCUGGCUUCUCCAUUUGUGACUGGGGAAAUUGAUUCCAGU
rnacentral:lncRNA from 1 species